CCCUUCCUUCUCAAAAACCCCUCACGCGGCCAAUGCCUCUCGCGCCGAUCCUCAUCCCUUAGCCUCACCCAGCGACGCCGCCGAGCUCUCCAUCUCUCCUCCCUCACGAGACUCUUCUCCACCGCCGUUGCCUCAUCCGUUCCACCUCUUGACCCAAUCGGCGUCGACCCCUUGCCCUAGCCGUCGCACAAGCAGAGAAAAGGAGCCACGACCGCCCCUUCGCGCCGACCGUCUGCAGCCGCGGGUCAUCGCUGGAGAAGAAGACACUCCAUCUCCUCUUCCUCCCGAGACGCACUGUCGGGCCCUCCUCCUUCACUCUCCCUCUCGCGAACAGUAGCCGGCAAGUACUCUUCCUUUGUUGAUACUAGUAGGUCUAGUAGGCAAGGUGAUGUCGGGUUUUUGCGAGUGUCAAAGAUGUUCCUGUUUGUUCCACGCUCUUAUCUUGGAUUUAGAUGACAACGCACGAAUUUGGUGUUGCGUUCUUGUGGGGGGGUUGCAGUCUAGGCUUUUGUUUCCCAAAAUUUGUUGUGGAAUUGGCAUGAUUUUAGCUUGAUGUAGUUCCGAGUUUCAAAUGCUACUCCAAUGUCUGGUUGAUUGUGUUCUGCAAUUUGUAUGAUUAGUGUGUUUUCAUGCAUUUGAAUUUUUCCUGAGCUGUUGUGGCUGUUUUGCGGAGUUGGGUUCAAAUUCUGGAAUAGACCCAAGUAGGCUGUGUAUUUUGAUUCCUGCACCAUUGUGAUAGUAUCAAAUUUCUAGUGAAAUUGGGAUAUAGUUUAUGGAUUUCAAUACAAUGCUGCAAUUCGAGGGAUCUUAGUGUGUUUCCUUGGUGGUUUUGUGAUCUCCGUGAAUGCUGGGAUAACAGGAUUGGAUGGUUGAUACAGAGGUUGAUUCGAUGUUGACCUUGGUUUUUUUGAUUCCGCUGUAAACUUUGUGAUUAAAUGGGUUUCUGUUUUAUCUUUUUGGUGGUUUGAAAUAUUGGGUAGUGUAGUAGGAAUUCUACAGGAUUGAGUAAGGAUGAGGAGCUAAUUGAGAUCUGGAAUUUUUGGGAUUAAGAACUUGGGCUUGCAUUACUUCUAGUUUUUAUCCUUUUUGUACUCAUUAAAUGUCAGACUGAUUUGGUGAAUGGAUUUGGAAUAUUUUGAGUCGAGUUUGAAGCUACGAUGGGUUCCCUGUGUUGCUGGAGUUUGGUGCCUGAUUUUGAAUUCCGGGUCAGAUUUGGAAUUUCUGAUUUGAUUUGUCUAUUUGAAGUCGAGAUGGCUUAAUUAGGGUUUUCUGUUUGAAUUGGGUUUAGGUAACAAGUUGAGGUAUGAGGGGUUUUGGUUGUAAUCAUAUGAUUUGUUGCAAGACACUGCUACGAGCCAAGUGUUCUAAAGUGGAGACAGCCUAGCACGAUCUACAAGUAAAGGUAACAGGUAGAUGAGUCAUGGAUGCUUGGAGAGAUGCCGGCUGCCAGUCCUGGGUCCUACGUUACACUCGAGGAUAGUUUUCGUUUUAGUUUUGUUAUUGUUUGGGGUGGUAUAAUGAUUUUGUGUAUUCUGUUUUCAACAAGUCGAUGUGAAUUUUGGGUCAAGUCUGUGAUGACAGAUAUUUUUGUUAGUGUCGUUGUUGGUUUUA